rnacentral:rRNA from 1 species
UACAGAGGUCUCGAGCGUUGUUCGGAUUCACUGGGCGUAAAGGGUGCGUAGGUGGCUACUUUAAAGUUUGAUGUGAAAGCUCCGGGCUCAACCCGGAAAUGGACAUUGAAGACUAUUGAAGGCUAGAGGUUUGGAGGGGGGGACUGGAAUGCUUGGUGUAGCAGUGAAAUGCGUAGAUAUCAAGCGGAACACCGGUGGCGAAGGCGAGUCCCUGGACAACACCUGACACUGAGGCACGAAAGCUAGGGGAGCAAACAGG